CAUACCGCGGUGAAUACGUUCCCGGGCCUUGUACACACCGCCCGUCACACCACGAAAGUUGGUAACACCCGAAGCCGGUGGCCUAACCCUUAGGGGAGGGAGCUGUCGAAGGUGGGACUGAUGAUUGGGGUGAAGUCGUAACAAGGUACC
rnacentral:rRNA from 1 species